AAUAUAUAUAUACAAAUGUAAUCUCAUUCGCUGUCCUUCCUCGUACGCAUGUGCUAUGGCUUUAUCUCAAGGGACUGGAUAGUCCGGAUUUCUCACAAGUAUAGGGAAACUAAUCGUCUAGCGGAUGAGUUAGCGAACUAUGCAUUUUUUUUUGCCUCUUGGUUUUCAGUUUUUUUAUGUUUGUCCGGAUGCUGUUUAUUCGGUUAUGUUGGAAGACCGGAACGAGAUGUCGUUUCCGCGUAAUGUUCGUUUGUAAUUUCUUUUAGUUUGAAUAAAAAAUAGGGGACAUUGUUUCCUAUCACUCA
rnacentral:sRNA from 1 species